rnacentral:ncRNA from 1 species
AUUCACUAGGGGAGCCAUGCGGCUGAGAAAGGGAAUUCAUUUCCUUUGACUCUUUGAACCUGAUUUGGGUAAUACCAGCGAAGGGAAGUGAUGUUGUUU